GACAGAGGCCUCGAGCGUUAGGCGGAAUCACUGGGCUUAAAGCGUGUGUAGGCGGAUCGUUAAGUACCUUGUGAAAUCCCACGGCUCAACCGUGGAACGGCUGGGUAUACUGGCGGUCUUGGGCCAUUCAGGGGCGACUGGAACAAGCGGUGGAGCGGUGAAAUGCGUAGAUAUCGCUUGGAACGCCGAAGGUGAAAACAGGUCGCUGGGGAUGUGCCGACGCUGAGACACGAAAGCCAGGGGAGUAAACGGG
rnacentral:rRNA from 1 species